UCUAGGCCUCCGCCUAUUCUUUCCCCUCCUUCCUUUUAUCUGUCAAACUCUUAUGUCAUGUUUUCUUGAAGUCUUUCCUAGACUCUCCAAAUUGCCUUAGGAUCCCUGGCUCUAUCUUCACUAGACAUCCACUAAGCCAUUACCAGGGCAUCUGACAUUCUUUAUUCUUGUCACCUACUUUACUUCUGCUUUUCUUGAUAAUUCAUGAAUUAGGUAAUUGUGAUGAUUAAUUUUAUGUCUAAACUUGACUGGGCUAAGGGAUUCCCAGAUCACUCUUAAAAUACUUUUUCUGGGUAUGUGUAUGAAGGUAUUUCCGGAAGAGAUUAGCAUUUGAAAUGGUCAACUGAGUAAAGCAAAUGGCCCUCAUCAUGUGGGUCUGUGGAAGCCCAGAGUGAGAGUACUACCAUUCACAUUCAGCAGCAAGAGUCCAAACCCAUUCAGACAGAGAAGCCUACUGCACAGAGGCUUCACUGGGUAAAAGUAGAGGUACAAAGAAAAUACCAUACUCCCUACUGAGGUUCCAGGUCCAGCCAAGACUCCAAACCUCAGGGAGGGCCUCUGAUGAGCCUGAAAAGUGUUGACAAAUCAGCUGAUCUAAAACUCAUGCUUUCCAAAUCACAUGAUCCAUCAUUUUCAGGUGAUUCAUGAGACACGAGCAAAGGUUUGACUAAACUGAGUCAAAUUGCAAGGAAGAGUGCGCUGCAGUACUGGAGUGUGAAGUUGCCAUUCUGGGGUGUUGCAGAUGAAAGCAGAUGAGCUGUCCAAGAACUAUGAGGAGAGAAGCAUGAAAUGGGCACUUCCUUGUAGAGAGUGAAGACAAGGACUCCCGUUUCCAGCGUCCAGGAUCCCAUUCGGAGGAGUACAUUACAAUUAGCCAUUAUAUCUCUGUAGGCUCUUCUUGACUAUGACAGUUUCUCAGAAUUUCCUCACUUCUGAUGACUGUGAGUUUUAAGGAAUGCUGGUCAAGUAUUUCAAAAUGGGCCAAAGACAUGGAUGUAAG